UACGUAGGGGGCUAGCGUUGUCCGGAAUCAUUGGGCGUAAAGAGCGCGUAGGCGGCUUCGCAAGUCCGGGGUGAAAGCCCCCAGCUCAACUGGGGAAGUGCCUUGGAUGCUGCGGGGCUCGAGCGAGGCAGGGGUCGUGGGAACUUCCGGUGGAGCGGUGAAAUGCGUUGAUAUCGGAAGGAACGCCGGUGGCGAAAGCGCACGACUGGUCCUCUUCUGACGCUGAGGCGCGAAAGCCAGGGGAGCAAACGGG
rnacentral:rRNA from 1 species